GACGAACGCUGGCGGCGUGCUUAACACGUGCAAGUGGUGCGACGAACCAGGCUUCGGCCUGGGGCGAAGCCGCGAACGGGUGAGUAACACGUGGGCAAUCUGCCCCUUUGAUCGGGACAACCCGGGGAAACCCGGGCUAAUACCGAAUGAGGUGGCGACUCAUGAGAGUCGUCACGAAAGGAAGCUUCGGCCUCCGCGAAGGGAUGAGCCCGCGGCCCAUUAGCUUGUUGGUGGGGUAAUGGCCUACCAAGGCAACGAUGGGUAGCUGGUCUGAGAGGACGACCAGCCACACUGGGACUGAGACACGGCCCAGACUCCUACGGGAGGCAGCAGUGGGGAAUUUUGGACAAUGGGCGCAAGCCUGAUCCAGCCAUGCCGCGUGCGGGAAGAAGGCCUUCGGGUUGUAAACCGCUUUUGUCAGGGAAGAAAUCCUCUGAGUUAAUACCUCGGGGGGAUGACGGUACCUGAAGAAUAAGCACCGGCUAACUACGUGCCAGCAGCCGCCGUAA
rnacentral:rRNA from 1 species